UGGGGUGUGGCUCAAGUGGUAGCGCGCUCGCCUGGCAUGCGUGCGGCCUAGGUUCGAUCCUCAGCAUCACAU
rnacentral:tRNA from 1 species